ensembl:lncRNA
CGCAGAGAGUCGGACACGACCGAAUCAACUGAGCAGACGUGCAUAGAUGAGUAGCCAGAAUAUUGAGCAGCGCAUAAAAUGAACUUCUGUAACAACCCACUCAGAAUGGAAUGUUGAGCUGAAUGGAAUGGUGACAAAGCGUAGAGACGAUAGAAUAGAUGAUAGAAUACAGUGAAGAAUGAUAGCAUCAGGACUCAUCUGUGCCGCAGGGCUAUCACAUUUUCACUGCAAACUGCAAGUGCUUUGCCUCCUUUACAUGGAAAAGAGGAACUAAAUUGAUCUACUUAGGCAAUGACACAGUGCCGAAGUGAUGUUUCUCCAAAUGAUGCUUCAGGGAUCCAGAUAUUUUCCAUCUUUAGACUCCACUGAGGUCUAAGAUCACAGAGUCUUCUGCUUCCAGCUCCAGAAAAGGAAAGAAGAGUGAAGGUAAAUUAUUGAGCAUGUCCACCUCAAGAGAGAAUGCCACCGAACAUAAAAU